CCUACGGGCGGCAGCAGUGGGGAAUAUUGCACAAUGGGGGAAACCCUGAUGCAGCGACGCCGCGUGAAGGAAGAAGUAUCUCGGUAUGUAAACUUCUAUCAGCAGGGAAGAUAGUGACGGUACCUGACUAAGAAGCCCCGGCUAACUACGUGCCAGCAGCCGCGGUAAUACGUAGGGGGCAAGCGUUAUCCGGAUUUACUGGGUGUAAAGGGAGCGUAGACGGCGGAGCAAGUCUGAAGUGAAAGCCCAGGGCUCAACCCCGGGACUGCUUUGGAAACUGUUCUGCUAGAGUGCUGGAGAGGUAAGUGGAAUUCCUAGUGUAGCGGUGAAAUGCGUAGAUAUUAGGAGGAACACCAGUGGCGAAGGCGGCUUACUGGACAGUAACUGACGUUGAGGCUCGAAAGCGUGGGGAGCAAACAGGAUU
rnacentral:rRNA from 1 species